UAACAAGGUAGCCGUACCGGAAGGUGCGGAUGGAUCACCUCCUAA
rnacentral:rRNA from 1 species